CGGAAGGAUCAUUAAAGAAAAUGAUGAAUAAUUGGUAGAGGAGGAGUGAUCGAGCCUGCGCUUAAGUGCGCGGCGAGGUUGUUCUUUUUCGUUACGCCGAUAAUUCUUUACACACACUGGAGUUUUAUUUCUACAGUAUCGGAGGUAGCAAUACCGCCAAAACAAAACACAAACAAUUAUUUUUUAUUAUUUUAAUUUGUCAUUUCAAAAUCUGCUUUAUUGCAGUAACCAAAAUAUUCAAAACUUUCAACAACGGAUCUCUUGGUUCUCGCAUCGAUGAAGAACGCAGCGAAAUGCGAUACGUAAUGUGAAUUGCAGAAUUCCGUGAAUCAUCGAAUCUUUGAACGCACAUUGCGCCCCUUGGUAUUCCAGGGGGCAUGCCUGUUUGAGCGUCAUUUCCUUCUCAAAUACUUGUAUUUGGUUGUGAGUGACACUCAGUCUUGCAUUGAGUUAACUUGAAAUUGUUGGCCGUAGCGGUUGUUGCAGCUUAUAGUUUUUGUGUAAUGGUAUGAUUUCUUUACUAUUAAACAGGAUGCUUGAGCAUGUCGUAUUAGGUUUUACCAACUCCGGCAGACUCGGUAUCUUGGAAGAGCGUACUGGCAUUAGAACAUUGAACUGUCGACUGUGGCAAACAGUACUCUUUAAGUUUGACCUCAAAUCAGGUAGGAAUACCCGCUGAACUUAAG
rnacentral:rRNA from 1 species